CAUCUUGAUAUUAUCGCAAAUAUCACAAAUGUACAAAACUUUUCCAAAAAGAACUCGGUAAACUUUCUUAACAAUACAGCGCUACAAUACGUAAACACAAUAGACGAACACUUUUUACGUGGGCGAUCAAUUGCGUUUGCUUAGCUGCCGGAUUCCCUUGAUGACGUAUAGUCACGUGACUCGCGAGCUCAAGAGUUUUCGAUCUUUUUCUGGAGGCGGGGCUUAUGAGCGUGAGAAACUAAGAAAUUAACUUCUAAAACCAGUAAUAUCUUAUUAAUCCGAGAUAAAUAAAUCAAAUUAAUAUUGUUAAAAUUCUUAGAAAAACAACUGAAAACUAAUAAGAGCAAAGUAUAGUUGCAUGACUCAGAACCUUUAAACCUUCAGGGAUAUCAAUAUUACAAUUACUAUUGUUAUCUGAACUGUGUGUCAAACAAUGAGGGUGCUUUUUCUUGUUUUUUUUCGACCACCCGUCCGCCCACUGACGGGUCUUUACUCGUUUGGGGGACUCCUAACAGUUUUUGGCUUGUUAAUUGCCUCCCAUGCCUUAAUAAUUUUGUCUCUUUUGGCCAUGUUCCUAUUCUUGAGCUCUUCGUUUGGUGGGUUUUCGCAAUCAUCUUGAUAGUGGUCAAACUCGCCAUACUUGAAGCACACAAUUACCCUAACUGGGCAUCGAGGGGAAGAUUUGGGACAAGAUGUGGAGGGAUGAUAUUUGGGUUUAUUUGAAGGAGAUGCUCAUUCAUUUGGGCUUUUCUGGGGUUUGUUGUGUUUUGGUUGGGUCUCUUUUUGUUGCUCAGUGUGAUACAAGCUCAUGUUCUCAAAUUGUACAUAGCUAUGGGCUGUUUUGGGGUUGGGUUUGUAUUGGGCCAUCUUGGCAGCUCUGGUUGCCUCUGCCUCUCUUAUAAUACUAAUCAAUUUAGGAAAUGGGGGUGCAAUGAUCUGGUUAUGGAGAUUCGUUACAGUUAAUAUAUAUUCGUCGUGACAUCCGAGCUUGAAUUUGUCCAGCAACUUUGGAUUGCUGCUUGAUGGGAGAACUCCCCCACCUCAACCAAUCUACUAACCUUCAAUUGGAGUCGCUUCAGGAAAUCUGAUGGUUUUUCAUCCUUACCCUGGACAAGACCCAUGAAUUCCUGAAGCAACAAGUUAUUGUUUUGAACAGCACCAUAGAUGCUGUCCAAAUAGGCCAGUAGACGAGUGAGGUGGUACCUGCCGCGACUUGUUUAGCAAAGACUUUAGCAGGCAUAAGGAAGCGAGUCACUUUCUCACGACGUUCCGAUUGCUCGGUCAGGCCAGCCAUAGUAGCUAUUUCCCUUGUAACAUCGUGAAAAGUCUCCCAGUCCACUUCACCUUGCUAAACUGGUUCCCUUCCAGAGAAGAGGCCAAGCCCUGGCCAGCUGAUAUGGGAUGACUCUGGGGUAGAGUUACCGCCUUGAGAGUUAUUAGAACUCCCUCUAACUAACUGGUCCAACUCCUCAAGAGUUAUCCCUGCCCCUGUAAGGAAAUCGCUCAGUGUAUCUGAGGGAGGGGGAGAAGGCAAAUCCUCCUUCAGGCUCCUUGACCUCCAAAGGGAUGGGGGUACCAACAAAUUAAUUACCUUCAGCCAUGAUUAACUAAUCAAACAAUAUAGGGAGUAUAACUAACAAAAUAUAUACUUAUAAAAAUAAACUAUAAAAGACCCAAGAUAUUUGCCCGAAAAUUAACAGUCUUAAAUAAAAUGACAAAAUAUCAAACACCAAAAUAAUGCAAACAGUAUCAAAAUAUAAUACAGAGAAGAAAAAAAACACACUAUCAACUACCAAAGAGUGCAAAACAAAUGUCCUAUCAAACUGAGUAGAUGACAGAUUGAUGGAACAAGAACCUGAUCAGGAAUAGUUUUAAACCUAAACCCUGAAUAUUCACUCAGGUGAAUGUACCGAAAGCGAGCACGCUCGUACAGGAAAACCUCUUUAUGCAGCACUCCUACGUAUCUCCUCACUCAAAUAACAGAGCUACAAUGGUGUAGAGAUAGGAUUUUCAAAACAAACAAAUGCAACAAAAUGAACUACAGUCACAUACUUGUUCCUAAAGAUGUUUUCACAUAAUACAAACAUGUAUACUUAUACCUUCUCUCCCUUAAUACCAUUUAUUCAAACGAUACCCAGAAGGAUUAUACUUUAGCCAAUUUCCUGACCUUGUGUAAGCUUAGGCAUUUUUAUCGUUGUCUUCUCCUGCAUUACUGCAGUGGAAAUAUUGGUGAAGUUUCUUAUACCUAUUCUUCCACAAUGUCUCCAUUGAUAAAGUUGAGUUCUUUUAUUUGACACUCAUCAUUGGCGAUCAAGGACUACAAAUCGGCUGAUAUCACUUUGGUGUUGGGUAAAUCUGCCCUCAUUCCAAACUUAACCCAUGAAGAAUUCAAUUUACUGAGCAAUCUCCAUCCUUUAUUUUUCUUUAUGUUGUCAAAAGUCAACUAAAUCCCCUCAUGUUCUCUAUAAUUGUCCAUGUAAUUUUUCUUCGUGGGGCUUUCGCACCUCUCUGGCCUACUAGACGUUUCUUGUUUUACUUUCAAAAAGGUAUCAAUGUGUUCUGUAAACAGUCCGUUUAGCCCCAACUCGUCCAAAUCGGAGUGGCCCAUAGAUUUAUUGUAUUGAUUCCCUACAUUGAAAUGCCACACUGCUUGAUGUACAAGUACCUUGUACCCCUAUCAAUAGCCUUUUCCAACUUGAGGGAUGCCCAGGUACCAAUAAGCACCCCCUCUUCUUGUUCAAUAUGCGUACAUGGGUCUGUUUGCAUGUUUCAACACAGGCAGAACAAAGGAGAAAUAUAAGUUUGCCUUUGACUAUGAACGGGUAAGGAGAAACCACUUUGCAUUUUAAUAGUCAAACCAAAAUAAUCCAAUAUGUUGUCUGAGAGAUUGUCUCUAAUGACUAUGACCUGAAUUAGUUGAUAAACAGAUAUUAAAGGGAAGUUAAUUGCUCAUAUUUCAUGUGUUCUCCCCGCAUUUAUAAAAAAGACAGCCUGCUUUGGUCUGUCCCUUGUAAAAUGUAUCCUGAGCAUCUUGAUUCAAAAUAGGGGUCCCUUCAGUUAAUGAAGGAGGUGAAGUAUUUUUUUUUUGGCACUGUUGAAGGGUGGUGUCAGGGAAUACUAAUUUCUUUCAGCUGAAUUACUUUUGAAUCAUUUACUGGUUGUGCUGUUUCGUAAGGUGUACCGUCAUCAGGAAUUUCCAGAUCAUCUUCAGUGUCAAUUAUUUCAAGGUAGCUUCUGAGGAGUGACAUGAGAUGCACAUUUUACCUAAGAAUAACUCAGCAUGUUCAAAACAACGCAAUACUGUUGUUUUUUUUAAAACCAUAUCAGGACUAUUUUUCAAUUCUAACCCGCCGGUUCCCCUGUCUUCCACGGCCAAAGCUGUGGAUUUGGGGGGUUUCAAGGUGGAACAAUGAUUUUGUGGUCCGAUAGCUUAGGUUCUACAUGUACCUUUGAUAAGGGGGGUUAGUCAUAAGACCCCGUAACUAAUAAUAAAUGCAAAAGAAACACAAGCGCUUGGACACACUGAAAAUUAUGGUGUUAUGUACUUUUUAAUUAAACUCUAGAUCUGCACUAUUACUCAUCAAUUACAACACAUUUCCAAAAAUACUAAUAAUCUCCAAGAUCAAAAUAUAUAUAUUACACUUCAACCUAAAUCCUAAUGGGGAAGGGGUUUGAUGGGAUUAGUGGGGAAAUGGAAGUUAGUUUUCUUGGCCACUUUCAUGCAAUCGCAGAUGUUGGUCAAAACAGUGCUCUUGCUCUUGAUGCUGGGGUCUUGAAUCUUUAGGUUGCAGAAUUGCUCGAAGUAAUAUCAUGUCUCAGAUGAUUCAUUCUUACCUUUUUUCCCUUUUCUUCUUCUUGCGAGCCCUCUCCCCCCCCCCUUCCUGGUAAAAUAUGCACUUCGGACAGAAGGCAACCUGACUGUACAUGUUGGCUCAGGGCGAUGCUCCUCUGCCAAUACCUUGUAUGGAAUAAUCACGUUGUUGGAGUAUUCAGGCACAUGCUUUGGGGAGGAAGCUUUGGUUUUGGAGGGGGUUUCCAUGAUAUCUUUGGUGUCCUAAAUCCAUCUGGAAACACCACCACAGCAUUCGGAGUCCAUUUCUCCUGUCUUACAUGUAUUCAUGUAGACUUACAAGUAUGUGAUCUUUCUUUCUUGCAGGGAUUUUCUUUUUUGAGGCGGCAGUGUCCAUAACUUUUUAAGUUCUGGAGGAAUCCAGUGAGAUUUAUUUGUCUUGCUGAAACUCUGCUCAAUCAAUUGAUGAAGACGAUGUACAAAAAAGAAGAAACAUGUUCUGCUGCUUGCAAAUUUAAAUGUAAAAUUUCAUUCUGUUACAAAGAGAAAUCUCAAAGAAAUUGCUCGUCCAUUUCAAUAAAGUUGCAGUUAUUCUUUAAACAAAAUUGUUCCAAAUUAUUGUUAUAUGUCAAGCUAUGCUGGUGUAAAAAUUCACAAUCCCAUCAGGAAAGAAUACUUGAAAACACAAUUCUUGCAGUCCGGAACCUUUCCCUCAUGCUACACAAAAGACGAAGUCACGAAAAUAUGCAUCAACAUCCUUGCUCCAAAAACUUCUCUAAAUUAUUGGUUCCAACGUGGAUGAUGACAAAAGCAGUUUAAAAGUCUUUAAGGCCAUCAAAUUUCUUGAUGACUUUUUUCCGCAAAGAUUGCAGAGUCGCUCCUGGAAAACUGAAUUUCGAAUUCUACUUUGAAAUCUAUAUAAUUCUUGUUUUGCAUGAUUUGGUUUAAAACUUUGCUUCAACUUAUGAUAAAACGUUGACUGAUGCCAUGUUUAUCUGUUUUAGUGCAGUGCUGCUAAGUUGCGAUGUUCCAACAGUGUCAGGACAGGAGGAAUGCACUCCUAUGCUUGCAUUUUCAGCAUACAUUUAGAGUCAUUGGCCUGUAAUCUGAAGUCUGGCUUACUUUGUCGUCAUAGGAAUCCGAAAACCAAAUUGAUGUUCUUAGUGCUAUAGACAUAUAGAAUGUUUUAAAUAUGUAUACAAAAACCCACUGUUGGGUUUAAAAUAUUACGUAAGUCUAUGUUAAAUACAUGUUCAACAGAAGAAAGGAAUAAGCUCAACCACGCAUCAAAACAGAACGGCAAACAGAGAUGAAGAAGUACCAACUCAGAAGACACAACAUAAUAGAACUGAACUCUAUGAAGUCUGGUAGUGCACUGGUUUAUUAAAUGGUUGCUUUGCCUCAGUAAAACUCAAGUCAUAUUACAGAAUUAACAUAUAUUCAAAUUAAGUAAUAUAGACCAAAAUAAAAAGAAUGGAGGAGCCAACAAAAAGUGCAGGAGUCUAAUUUAUGAUACUAACCAAUAAGAGAUAGUGAAUGGAGAUCAAUAACAUGUUUGGUUGAUUACAUAGUAAGAAUCAGAUGUGGGAAUGUAAUGAAUGAACACAUCUGAAUAGGAAAGGAAUGACAGGAGAAGUAGGUUGAAAGUCAAAUGUGAAUGGAUGACAACAGAAGCAUCAAGAAUGUAAACAAAGCUGAACUAAAUACCAAAGCUGGACCUGUAAAUAACUAAACUAUGAAAGGAUACCAAAUGUCAAAACAACAGUCCUACAGUACACUCGCUUAAUAAGAAAAAGAAUGUGAUUUCCACUCAUUUGUGACCCUUUCCCUUUUGAUGAUUCUGUGCCCACUGGUGAAAUGCUGUAUAGUCUAGACCUACAUAAUUCUGCUAUUGAUCGUCAACUAACAAAUUACUCCAGGUGGGUGUUUCAUUUAGCUGUUUGGAAGUUAAUAACGACUGGUGAUCCUUUCUUAAUUAUGCCCUAAAACAAUCACCAAUGAGCAUUUAAUUGUGAAUAUCAUUUACCACAAAAAAGGAUCAUCAGUUAUUAACGUAGCUCUCAAUUCAUGAACAGCUUCAUGAAAUGGCCCCCGGAAUAGUUGCUUUUCUCAGUCUUUUAAACAUAUUGAGUGUAAAAUUACGCAAAACCCCUAGCAAUCAUUGGUUUUAUGUACACUUGUGCUCAAAUGUUAGUGAACCCCAACACAAAAUGCACUGCUUCAUGCUGAGUGUUGAAUGUAGACAACAACUCUACAAUGUUUGGCGAGCCCAGAGAAACAAAGUUUAUGAAUUUGAUAUUUUGUCACCUGACUUCAGAAUUGUCUAUAGAUGGCAGCAAUUGGACACUUUAAAUAUGUUUAUUUUUCUGGUAGGGUUCACUUGGUUUUGAGCACCACUGUGUACUAUGUGUACUCUAUGUGUAAUGAAAUGGUAUUCUGUCAUCAGAAACACUGUCGUACAACUCGUACCGUUUUGUGCUUUCCUCACAGAAAUGUUGUGAGCCUAACAGAGUGCUAACAGUAAGCCAAGUCACAUAUUCCAGAUUGUGAAGUCAAAACAUAUCAAUGUGUAGGUAAUCGGUCGUAACUGGGCCUCAGUGCAUUUGUAAUGCGGUCAGUACUGGUUAUGGCUGAAACAUUCAAGUAUUAGAUUCACUCUGUUAACUACAGUCACACCCAGAUAACCAACUCCAGACUGACCAGUUGGUAGCAUUGUAAGUUGUCAGCACUGACAAGUUGGCUUUCUCUGACAGUUACCAUAGUAACAGUCAGAGGCAAGUGCCUCGCAGCCAAUCAAAACCAAGGAUUUCACUGAUAUUAUCAGCACCGAUAAUUUUGUCAGUGCUGACAACUUUCAUGAAACACCCCUCUGAGCAUUGCUACUUAUGCUGUAAUACGAUGGCCCAUAUUUUGAACACUGCUUUGAAUCAAUUCCUCUCUUAAGUUGAUCUCUGACAGUAGGCUAUAGGUAAGAUUCAUUAGCUCAAUUUGUAACCGAGGUCAUUUGUAAAUGUCUGGAAAUAACAAAUAAAAUGUUUUUUUGCCAUUAUAACAUAAGGAAAGAGCACAGUAAACAUAGGAAAAUACAGAGUUACCAAAAUGUUGAAAUGUUUAGACUUCCAUUAUUUUCAAUACAGAGUUAGACUGUUGCCUAUUAAAUUUAAAGUAGACUUCAUAAUAUGUACCAAUCUGUUUGCCACAUAAAGUUCAUUGAUAACAUUUGGUUCUAAACCACAGAAUUCCAAGAACUUUAAGUUCUGAAUCAAUUUUCUAGAAUUCGACAAAUAUUGAUUAAUCCAUGGAAUAAUAUUAUAUUAAAGACUCAUAAGACAAAGCAAUGGGGAAUGUAAAGCAGUCUUUGAAUCACACUAUUUUUUUCCAUAGUCAUAUGUGAAGAGUAGUGAUGCAAAGCUGCUUGCCGGGUACUGUGUUCCUGGGUGAAAGGCAUGGCUCGUACUUCUCAUUAGGUGCCUUAUUCAGUUUUUGCAAAGUUCAAAGUCAUGUCUAAUAUUUGUGUUAGCUGUAGAAAGUUAAAAUGAAAUUUGUAUGUAUAGUUUGAAUAUUAAAAAUUUAUGAUAUA
rnacentral:lncRNA from 1 species